UCACUGUGCCCUUUAUAACCUGGAGCGUCUCCCUCUCUGUUACCUGAGAAAAAGCUGCCCCCCUCCCCGCCCCCUGACACAGAAGGCUCCUGGAAGCCCAGCCCCGCAGAAAGAGAAGUCAGAGGCGUUCGUUUCCCUUGGCAAAGGCUGCCUGGUUUUUCAGCAGCCAAGUUACAUCUGAGUCUGCUCGCCUGGCUGGCUCCAGGGUCCGUGUGCUCUGAGCAGCUGUUGGGAAGAAUCCUAGAAGAGGCAGGCCUUUGUGGCUGUGACUGCGUGUGCCUGCGGAUGGGCGUCCAGCACAGUGACUCACCAGGAGUGAGUCCCGCCCUGCCCAGCCCAGCCCGGCCUGACCGACCGCCCACAGCACCCAGAUUUGGUUGGUCUCUGGUUUACAAGCCCAGCAGCUAGGCCACGUGACCACACACUUGGUUUCUUUGUGGAAAACAGCCCUGAAAAGAAGGCCAGCUGCUGAUGCUAAAGAGAAAAAGGAUGUCUCUUGGUCAGAAAAAUACCAUUUAGGCGGAAUAAUAACAAGCGUCCAUCAGGGCCUCUGCUUUGCAGCCGGCGGGAGACGGAGCUUGCGCCGAUUGUAAAUCAGUGAUACAUUUGCAAAUGUUCCAGUGGGAUUGAGAAAAACAACAACCGAAAUGUGACACAACUGUCCAGCAGAAGGGAAAUGGUGCAGGGUGAUUGGUGGCCUCCAUCCCAGGGGCUAUUCUGGGUCGUUCACGAUGAGAAAUGUGCAUCAUUCACGACAUGGGUUUCGUGUAGCCCUGGUCAGGGGGGCUUUGGGAACCGGAUGCGACCUACAGGCCUCCCCAGAGGAGCACGCAUACACACAAAAUGCUGCACGAGAUUUCAGGGAGCUCAUGGAGCUCCUCGAAGCCCAACCCAGGGGUCCCACACAUUGUCGGUGGGGGGUAGGGGGGCAGGUUCAUGUCCCUGGCUCACAGGGACAUUUUGAAAAAUGAAUUUAGCGAGUGCUGCACAUGGGGGAUUUCAGAGGGUCUCAGGUCGAGAGAUGAUGCAGUGUAGAGAUUGGGGGUGGGAGGGAGAGCAGGGGUGUUAAAUAGACGCUGGAUGCUGUGUCCAUCUUCCAGCAGAGGAAAGGGAGCCUGAGCUGUCAGGUCACCCAAGGGCACGGGAUCUGGUCGGUUCUGUUCACCUCUGGGACCACAGCGUCUGGUGUAGAGUGGGCACGGAAACAAGAUUUGUCAUUAAAUGAAAUAAGCGUCUCCCAAGCCCUGCAGCAGAGGGAAGUCGGCGUGGUUCCAGGUUAGAAGAUGGGAUGGGACUUCCCUUCGUGGCUCAGCGAUAACACACCCAACUAUUAUCCAUGAGGAUGUGGGUUUGAUCCCUGGCAUCUCUCAGCGGGUUAAGGAUCUGGCCUUGCCUUGAGCUGUGGUGUGGGUCGCAGAUGCGGCUCAGAUCUGGCAUUGCUGUGGCUGUGGCGUAGGCCGGUAGCUGCCUCUCAGAAGAUGAGACGGGCCUGUUCCCUCAGAGACACAGAAAUGAGACUGAACUGGGUUUUUCUCAGCUGUCAGUUCCUGGAAACCCCGGGCCAGGGCCCCGCAGCUGGGCUUGGUGUCCCCAUGUGGCCUGAUUCAUUUCGAGCCGUACCUCGAGAGGCCUGGUGUCACCAGGCCCACGUAGUCACCCCGUGCUGGGCUUGUCCCUCCGCUGGUCCCCCAUUUCAGGCGCACUCCCUGCAGAGGCCUGGCCUGGGGUACAUCAAUCGGGUGUGGGAUGGGACAUCCUGUUCUGACUCAAAAAGGAACCCCCUCCUUUUGCUUUCCUGACUCACUUCCUCAUUUAGCUGCCGUUCUGCAGCAUGGCACGGGCGCUGGAACCAGACAGUCCUGGGCUUGCUUAGACAGUAGCUGUCUGACCUGGGCAGGAGAGCCGGCUCCUCUGAGCUUCAGUUUCCCCAUCUGUAAGGUGGCAGCAUCGCUCCUGCCUUGAUGGUUGGUGGAUAAUGAAUGAACCACACCUGCCCAGCACCUGCCACACAGCAGGUAGCCUCCUACAUGGGAACUUUGGGUGACAUUUUCCCAACCCGCAGGGGCCUCUUUUGACAGCUAAAGGUCAAGACUCAUGAUGACCUUGACUCCCACCCAGGGCAAUCAUAGCAUCACAGAUGAUGGGGGUGGGGACAGGGUAGGAGCCGGCAGAACCCUCCUUACCCACCAAUCGUUGGCACCAUGCGUGGCGGGGCACAGCUGCGAGUGCAGACACUGUGGGGAGGAAUGGAGGCUGCUCCCCACAGCUCAUCAGAUGUUUGCAUGUUUAGUCAGCUGUUGAGAAGACUCCCUGGAUGUGAACUCUGGUUUGUUUGUUGAAGUGCAGGUUUCCAAUAAAAAGGAUGUCUUGGGAUUAAAUGGCACUUUACAAGGCGUUCUAUGACCAAAGGUGCCAGGUCGCUAGAAGCCUUUACAGCUCCGUGUUAGUUCCAGACAAUUGGUCAGACACUGCCCUCUUUGCUUGUGGGGCUGUCAUUGACCAGGACAUGCCACUCCCUUGCUCACAGACCCCCGCUGGCUCCCCGGCACCCACAGAGUUAAGUCAACGCGCUCCUUUGAAUCCUGUGCUGCUCAGGCUCCCCUCUUGCCUCUCUGACACAGUUUCCUUUAACGAUUCCCAAGCCCAGGCUGCAGCCUGAACUUGGCCUUGCUCUUGUCCACCUGUCAGCUUUUGCACCUGCUGGUCCAGCAGCUUCUUAUGCCCUUUCCCUCUUGUCUUCUUAUCCAGACCCUGCUCACCCUGCACGUCUCAGCCAGCCUGUUAACCUUGGCCCUGAACCUCUCGUUGGAUCCCUAAUCAGAAUCAUUGCUCAAUUCUCAAGGUUCCGAGAGCUUCUCCUGUGCUGCUCCAUAUGCGCACGUAACAGCCUCAGUCAGGGUCUGUGGCCACGCAGACCGUCUUCAUAGCCCGCAGCCUGCACCUGGCUCAGCCCUGGGCAGGUCCAGAUGUUAAAAGUCCAAUGGUCUUGGACUUGACUCCUUAUCUCUUAACUACUUGGACCUUGGGCAUAGCACGAAACUCCCCCAUCUCCGUGUCCUCAUCUGGGAAAUGGAAAUGAAUAUUACAGCCUGUUGCUCAAGUGUAAAAAAUAAUUUUACAAUUAACUUAGCAAGUGCUGUUGAAAUGAAGUGCAGAGCUUCUCAGGGGGAGUAUCUGUUUCUCACAGGGAUGGCUGUUUUUAUAGGUCUGUUUGAAUGACUCUCUUAGUUUUGGGAUUUUGUUUCUUUUUUUAAAAAAUAUCUCUAUUGAGGAGUUCCCGUCGUGGCGCAGUGGUUAAUGAAUCCGACUAGGAACCAUGAGGUUGCGGGUUCGAUCCCUGCCCUUGCUCAGUGGGUCAAGGUUCUGGCGUUGCCGUGAGCUGUGGUGUAGGUCACAGACGUGGCUCAGAUCCUGCGUUGCUGUGGCUCUGCCAUAGGCUGGCAGCUGCAGCUCCGCUUCGGCCCCUAGCCCGGGAACCUCCAUAUGCGGCAGGAGCAGCCCAAGAAAUG
ensembl:lncRNA